rnacentral:rRNA from 1 species
AGAAUCAACGCUGGCGGCGUGCCUCAGACAUGCAAGUCGAACGAUUAAAGCUCUCUUCGGAGAGUGUAUAGAGUGGCGCACGGGUGAGUAACACGUAAGUAAUCUACCUUCGAGUGGGGAAUAACGUCCGGAAACGGACGCUAAUACCGCAUAAUGCAGCGGCAUCGCAAGAUGACUAGUUUAGUUAAA